ensembl:lncRNA
GCAUGAAUCAGUGAUUUUCUUUAGAGUAUGAUUACGAAACUAGUUUGGUUCAUUGGUGCUUUGCCAUUGCUCUUAACUUCAGCAAGGUACCUAAAUACUUGUCCUUUCAGGAAUCGUCAGUUACUCACCAAACCACUUGUCUGAGAUCGGUAAAGAAUGUCUCAAAUCAACGUGAGGCAAUCGACAUCGCUUUGUGGACAGUUUUACAUUUGAAAGCAUUUCUUAGGAGUUGUUUGCCUUCGAAUGGGAGUGCCCAGCAGUGUUUGUUGGCUGAAGACUUGGCCUGGGAACAAAUCACCUUGAUAGUGGAGGUUGGGAGGUGAUACUAUUGUAUUCUGUGAAAGCAAAGUGCAAGCUGGCCUCUCCCUGCGUCCUCUUAUCUGCUGACUUAAAUUUGCAAGGCCUGGAGGGUAGGAAUCAAAGUAGUUCCUGCUGAGAUCCCAAAGCCAGAAGCUGUCACUCCAAAAGAGCUGGCUGGGCCACUCUGGACUAUAAGAGUUUGUACUGUCUUCAGUAGUCAUCAACCAAACAACAAAACCUUGGACAACCCACGUCUUCUGGAGAACAGUGCCUGACACCAAGAUGAAAACCACUGCACCACAUCUUGUGUUGGGCUGAUUUUUUUUCUUCAGACUGCAUUUCUGUGAUUCCUUUCAUCCAAUGGUGAUGGUGAUCAGUAAGUCUUCAUAAUCCUGUGGCACUGGAUAGCUUCAGUCAGAAACUGGAACCUUACUAGCUGGGUGAAUGCAAAAAUAAUGCAACAAAAAUACAAAUGUAGAGGACAGUGAGUAGCUUUUGGUUUUCAUUGUUAUCUUUGCUGUUGCUCUUAUCUACCUAUAUUAGGGAACAUUUCAUUAAAGUCCAGAAUUUUAUCUGUCAGCUUUUUCUUCACUAUCAUUGGCAUAAAGUAGCAAAAAGUGGACGGUAUUUUGACUCCAGUAAUCACGACUUGAUAAAUCUGUUAUAGGAUUUCAUUCCUUUGUACUUUUUGCUGAACUGUACUAUAUUUUAAAUAAUUUUCAGAGAAAUAUUUAAGUGUCAUAUCAUGUUUCCUGAUUGGUAUCACGGUC